AUGAGUCUUGUGCCAGUUUCUCUCUCAUCAGGCACCAAAAUAAGAAAAGAUGACACCCCACAGCACAAAAGCAGCCCAUCAAACAACCAAGACGCCGACAUGCUCAGCAGGACUACAGGAAAGCUGCCGUCUCGCCUGUCAGAUGUAACCUUUUCUUCUCUGUCCUGGGCUUUUCUGAAAAGGUUAUUCGCACCCGAGGGGAAUUCCAGAAACCUGUGUGAUCUUGGUAACACCAUUGUGCCUUCUAAACCUAAAGCCUCGCCACCACCACCUCCUGAGAGACCAAUAGAAGAGCCCCGCCUGGUUUGCUUCACUCACCCAGAUGCCUGCUUCCUUCUGUACAAGCCUCCUUUGCUAGCUGCCUCCCAUCUCCAUCUCCUGAAGUGUUAGUGCUAGUCCUCGGUUGUAUCCAACUCUUUGCAACCCCGUGGACUGUAGCCUGCCAGGCUCUCUGUCCAUGGCACUCUCCAGGCAAGAACACUGGAGUAGGCAGCCAUUCCCUUCUCCAAGGGAUCAUCCUGACCCAGGAAUCAAAUCCGGGUCUCCUACAUUGCAGGCGGAUUCUUUACCAACUGAGCUACAAGGAAGCCUUCUUCAUUUCUUGAAACCUUUCCAAAUCCAAAAUCCAAAUCCAGCAUGCUGUUGUACAAAGUCUGGUUUUCCUAACCUAAAGGUAGAGUAAAGGCUGUCCUUUCCUGGAAGGAUCUCUCCUCUGCCCAACCUGCUCCCAAAACAGAAACUGGUUGCGGGACUUCCCUGGUAGUCCAGUGGUUAAGACUCCACCUUGAAAUUCAGGGGACACAAGUUCAGUCCCUGGUCUGGGAACUAAGAUCCCACAUGCCAUGGAGCAACUAAGCCCCCAGCUCCAGUGCUACAACUAGAGAGCCCGUGUACCGACACAAAAGAUCCCGCAUGAUGCAGUGAAGCUUCUGUGUACCCCAACUAAGACCCGAUGCAGCCAAACAAAUACAUAAAUAAAACUUUUUAAUAAAAUAUUUUUAAAAAUUGG
rnacentral:lncRNA from 1 species